rnacentral:rRNA from 1 species
CACUCCUGCGGGAGGCAGCAGUGGGGAAUUUUGGACAAUGGGCGAAAGCCUGAUCCAGCAAUGCCGCGUGCAGGAUGAAGGCCUUCGGGUUGUAAACUGCUUUUGUACGGAACGAAAAAGCUCCUUCUAAUACAGGGGGCCCAUGACGGUACCGUAAGAAUAAGCACCGGCUAACUACGUGCCAGCAGCCGCGGUAAUACGUAGGGUGCGAGCGUUAAUCGGAAUUACUGGGCGUAAAGCGUGCGCAGGCGGUUAUGUAAGACAGAUGUGAAAUCCCCGGGCUCAACCUGGGAACUGCAUUUGUGACUGCAUGGCUAGAGUACGGUAGAGGAGGAUGGAAUUCCGCGUGUAGCAGUGAAAUGCGUAGAUAUGCGGAGGAACACCGAUGGCGAAGGCAAUCCCCUGGACCUGUACUGACGCUCAUGCACGAAAGCGUGGGGAGCAAACAGGAUUAGAAACCCUAGUAGUCCCAU